rnacentral:rRNA from 1 species
AAUAGAUACCCAGGUAGUCCACGCCGUAAACGAUGGAUACUAGCUGUCGGAGGUAUCGACCCCUUCAGUAGCGAAGCUAACGCGUUAAGUAUCCCGCCUGUGGAGUACGGUCGCAAGACUAAAACAUAAAGGAAUUGACGGGGACCCGCACAAGCGGUGGAUCGUGUUCUUUAAUUCGAUGCUAAACGAAGAACCUUACCAGGGCUUGACAUCCCUUGAAUUAAUCCGAAAGGAUUGAGUGCUUUAUUGAACAAGGUGACAGGUGUUGCAUGGCCGUCGUCAGCUCGUGUCGUGAGAUGUUUGGUUAAGUCCAUCAACGAGCGCAACCCUUGCAAGUAGUUGUAUUUUUCUACUUGGACUGCCCCGGCAACGGGGAGGAAGGAGGGGAUGAUGUCAGGUCAGUAUUACCCUUACGUCCUGGGCUAGAAACACGAUACAAUGGCAAGUACAGUGCGCAGCGAAGCCGCGAGGUGAAGCAAAUCGCAUCAAAGCUUGUCCCAGUUCGGAUUGGAGGCUGAAACUCGCCUCCAUGAAGUCGGAA